rnacentral:rRNA from 1 species
GGGGAAUUUUGCGCAAUGGGCGAAAGCCUGACGCAGCAACGCCGCGUGUGUGACGAAGGCCCUAGGGUUGUAAAGCACUGUGGGAAGGGAAGAAAAAACGGGGGUUGUACCCCGUCUUGACGGUACCUUGUUAGAAAGCACCGGCUAACUCCGUGCCAGCAGCCGCGGUAAUACGGAGGGUGCAAGCGUUGUUCGGAAUUAUUGGGCGUAAAGGGCGUGUAGGUGGCUUGCCAAGUCUGGUGUGAAAGCCCACGGCUCAACCGUGGAACUGCAUUGGAAACUGGCAAGCUCGAGUGUUGGAGGGGGUCGCGGAAUUCCCGGUGUAGAGGUGAAAUUCGUAGAUAUCGGGAGGAACACCAGUGGCGAAGGCGGCGACCUGGCCAAUCACUGACACUGAGACGCGAAAGCGUGGGGAGCAAAC